GCAUAUCAAUAAGCGGAGGAAAAGAAACCAACAGGGAUUGCCCUAGUAACGGCGAGUGAAGCGGCAACAGCUCAAAUUUGAAAUCUGGCGUCUUUGGCGUCCGAGUUGUAAUUUGCAGAGGGCGCUUUGGCAUUGGCAGCGGUCCAAGUUCCUUGGAACAGGACGUCACAGAGGGUGAGAAUCCCGUACGUGGUCGCUAGCCUUUACCGUGUAAAGCCCCUUCGACGAGUCGAGUUGUUUGGGAAUGCAGCUCUAAAUGGGAGGUAAAUUUCUUCUAAAGCUAAAUACUGGCCAGAGACCGAUAGCGCACAAGUAGAGUGAUCGAAAGAUGAAAAGCACUUUGGAAAGAGAGUUAAAAAGCACGUGAAAUUGUUGAAAGGGAAGCGCUUGCAGCCAGACUUGCCUGUAGUUGCUCAUCCGGGUUUUUACCCGGUGCACUCUUCUAUAGGCAGGCCAGCAUCAGUUUGGGCGGUUGGAUAAAGGUCUCUGUCACGUACCUCCUCUCGGGGAGAACUUAUAGGGGAGACGUAAUGCAACCAGCCUGGACUGAGGUCCGCGCAUCUGCUAGGA
rnacentral:rRNA from 2 species